rnacentral:sRNA from 1 species
CUGACACCUGGUUACCCACAGGUGGAGGAUUUCACUCCCCAAGUAUAAGGACCCUUCAGUUGAGGCAGUGAGAGCCGACCUCUUCAGGGUUCCCUUUCAGUCUCCUGAGGUUUGCUGAGUGGGAUUCUUUCAGAUGAUUAAAGAGGAGGCAGGCAGAGUGAAUGGAAACCGUCUGCUCCGUGUCCCCCACCCCUCUAGGGGUCUUGGAGUUCAAGGCUCUCUAUCCUCCAGCCAGCUGGUGAGCUUGUUGCUCAUUGGAGUGGCUGCUUGGGGCAAGGGCCUGGGUCUGGUGUCCAGCAUCCACAUCAUCGGCGGAGUCAUUGCUGUGGGAGUCUUCCUUCUCCUUAUUGCAGUGGCUGGACUGGUGGGUGCUGUCAACCACCACCAAGUCCUGCUGUUCUUUUACAUGAUCAUCCUUGGUUUGGUCUUCAUCUUCCA